AUGAACCGUUAUAACCGGCGAUUUCCGAAUGGGGAAACCCAGUGUGUUUCGACACACUAUCAUUAACUGAAUCCAUAGGUUAAUGAGGCGAACCGGGGGAACUGAAACAUCUAAGUACCCCGAGGAAAAGAAAUCAACCGAGAUUCCCCCAGUAGCGGCGAGCGAACGGGGAGGAGCCCAGAGCCUGAAUCAGUGUGUGUGUUAGUGGAAGCGUCUGGAAAGGCGCGCGAUACAGGGUGACAGCCCCGUACACAAAAAUGCACAUACUGUGAGCUCGAUGAGUAGGGCGGGACACGUGGUAUCCUGUCUGAAUAUGGGGGGACCAUCCUCCAAGGCUAAAUACUCCUGACUGACCGAUAGUGAACCAGUACCGUGAGGGAAAGGCGAAAAGAACCCCGGCGAGGGGAGUGAAAAAGAACCUGAAACCGUGUACGUACAAGCAGUGGGAGCCUCUUUUAUGGGGUGACUGCGUACCUUUUGUAUAAUGGGUCAGCGACUUAUAUUCUGUAGCAAGGUUAACCGAAUAGGGGAGCCGAAGGGAAACCGAGUCUUAACUGGGCGUUAAGUUGCAGGGUAUAGACCCGAAACCCGGUGAUCUAGCCAUGGGCAGGUUGAAGGUUGGGUAACACUAACUGGAGGACCGAACCGACUAAUGUUGAAAAAUUAGCGGAUGACUUGUGGCUGGGGGUGAAAGGCCAAUCAAACCGGGAGAUAGCUGGUUCUCCCCGAAAGCUAUUUAGGUAGCGCCUCGUGAAUUCAUCUCCGGGGGUAGAGCACUGUUUCGGCAAGGGGGUCAUCCCGACUUACCAACCCGAUGCAAACUGCGAAUACCGGAGAAUGUUAUCACGGGAGACACACGGCGGGUGCUAACGUCCGUCGUGAAGAGGGAAACAACCCAGACCGCCAGCUAAGGUCCCAAAGUCAUGGUUAAGUGGGAAACGAUGUGGGAAGGCCCAGACAGCCAGGAUGUUGGCUUAGAAGCAGCCAUCAUUUAAAGAAAGCGUAAUAGCUCACUGGUCGAGUCGGCCUGCGCGGAAGAUGUAACGGGGCUAAACCAUG
rnacentral:rRNA from 1 species